rnacentral:rRNA from 1 species
GAAUGCUGACAUAAGUAACGAUAAAGCGGGUGAAAAGCCCGCUCGCCGGAAGACCAAGGGUUCCUGUCCAACGUUAAUCGGGGCAGGGUGAGUCGACCCCUAAGGCGAGGCCGAAAGGCGUAGUCGAUGGGAAACGGGUUAAUAUUCCCGUACUUGGUGUUACUGCGAAGGGGGGACGGAGAAGGCUAUGUUGGCCGGGCGACGGUUGUCCCGGUUUAAGCGUGUAGGUGUGUGUUCCAGGUAAAUCCGGUUCACUUUAACACUGAGGCGUGAUGACGAGGCACUACGGUGCUGAAGCAACAAAUGCCCUGCUUCCAGGAAAAGCCUCUAAGCAUCAGGUAACACGAAAUCGUACCCCAAACCGACACAGGUGGUCAGGUAGAGAAUACCAAGGCGCUUGAGAGAACUCGGGUGAAGGAACUAGGCAAAAUGGUGCCGUAACUUCGGGAGAAGGCACGCUGACACGUAGGUGAAGUGAUUUACUCAUGGAGCUGAAGUCAGUCGAAGAUACCAGCUGGCUGCAACUGUUUAUUAAAAACACAGCACUGUGCAAACACGAAAGUGGACGUAUACGGUGUGACGCCUGCCCGGUGCCGGAAGGUUAAUUGAUGGGGUCAGCGCAAGCGAAGCUCCUGAUCGAAGCCCCGGUAAACGGCGGCCGUAACUAUAACGGUCCUAAGGUAGCGAAAUUCCUUGUCGGGUAAGUUCCGACCUGCACGAAUGGCGUAAUGAUGGCCAGGCUGUCUCCACCCGAGACUCAGUGAAAUUGAACUCGCUGUGAAGAUGCAGUGUACCCGCGGCAAGACGGAAAGACCCCGUGAACCUUUACUAUAGCUUGACACUGAACAUUGAGCCUUGAUGUGUAGGAUAGGUGGGAGGCUUUGAAGUGUGGACGCCAGUCUGCAUGGAGCCGACCUUGAAAUACCACCCUUUAAUGUUUGAUGUUCUAACGUGGACCCGUAAUCCGGGUUGCGGACAGUGUCUGGUGGGUAGUUUGACUGGGGCGGUCUCCUCCUAAAGAGUAACGGAGGAGCACGAAGGUUGGCUAAUCCUGGUCGGACAUCAGGAGGUUAGUGCAAUGGCAUAAGCCAGCUUGACUGCGAGCGUGACGGCGCGAGCAGGUGCGAAAGCAGGUCAUAGUGAUCCGGUGGUUCUGAAUGGAAGGGCCAUCGCUCAACGGAUAAAAGGUACUCCGGGGAUAACAGGCUGAUACCGCCCAAGAGUUCAUAUCGACGGCGGUGUUUGGCACCUCGAUGUCGGCUCAUCACAUCCUGGGGCUGAAGUAGGUCCCAAGGGUAUGGCUGUUCGCCAUUUAAAGUGGUACGCGAGCUGGGUUUAGAACGUCGUGAGACAGUUCGGUCCCUAUCUGCCGUGGGCGCUGGAGAACUGAGGGGGGCUGCUCCUAGUACGAGAGGACCGGAGUGGACGCAUCACUGGUGUUCGGGUUGUCAUGCCAAU